rnacentral:rRNA from 1 species
UACGUAGGGUGCAAGCGUUGUCCGGAAUUAUUGGGCGUAAAGAGCUCGUAGGCGGUCUGUCGCGUCUGCUGUGAAAACUCAGGGCUUAACCCUGAGCUUGCAGUGGGUACGGGCAGACUAGAGUGCGGUAGGGGGAGACUGGAAUUCCUGGUGUAGCGGUGAAAUGCGCAGAUAUCAGGAGGAACACCGGUGGCGAAGGCGGGUCUCUGGGCCGUAACUGACGCUGGAGGAGCGAAAGCAUUGGGGAGCGAACAGG